rnacentral:rRNA from 1 species
ACUAAUAAUCAUGAUUCAUGACGGUAUCAACAGAAGAAGCACCGGCUAACUACGUGCCAGCAGCCGCGGUAAUACGUAGGUGCAAGCGUUAAUCGGAAUUACUGGGCGUAAAGGGUGCGCAGGCGGUUCUGUAAGUCAGAUGUGAAAUCCCCGGGCUUAACCUGGGAACUGCGUUUGAAACUGCAGAGCUAGAGUGCAGCAGAGGGAGGUGGAAUUCCAUGUGUAGCAGUGAAAUGCGUAGAGAUAUGGAAGAACAUCGAUGGCGAAGGCAACCUCCUGGGCUAGCACUGACGCUCAUGCACGAAAGCGUGGGGAGCAAACAGGAUUAGAUACCCUGGUAGUCCACGCCCUAAACUAUGUCAACUAGUUGUCGGGUCUUAUUAGACUUGGUAACGUAGCUAACGCGUGAAGUUGACCGCCUGGGGAGUACGGUCGCAAGAUUAAAACUCAAAGGAAUUGACGGGGAC